rnacentral:lncRNA from 10 species
UUUGCUUCCUAACCCGUUGCCGGGUUGGAGAUUCCACCUCCGAAGUUUUCUUUCUGACUUUUGAUUUUACAUUCCUAGUACAGUGGAGAAGCCCAGGCGGCCUAGAAUCCAGUGUCGUCCGUGAGUGCUUGGCUGGUGUUCAAGUGCAUCUUCCAGCCUGAGACCGCGUGGACUCGCUCAUCGUGAGGGCGAGAGGAGGAUAAGCCCAUUGGGCUGUCGGCUGAGAGUGAGACCAUCCACAAUAUUGUUUGAACAUCUGAAGACAUGGGGAACUUGCCAUCUGAUAUCUGAUAACAGACUUCCUGUAAAGCAGGACUGGUAGUUUCCUGAUAACAAAUUCUUCAAUAUGAAGGAUAUAGCUGUGUCCUUUACAACUGGUAGCAUGGAAAGAAAGAGAAGUCUGCAAAGAUUGAACAAACAGCAUGCACUGUGGUAUCCUUUAUUUAAAAAUUGUGAGCUGA